GAUGCUCACUCAGUUUUGCCGGGUGACAGAAUGAUUUUCCACCCUACCGCCACUUUUCUAAACAUUGUUUAAUGAUUGAAGAUUUUAAACUACUAGAGAUUUCGUUUCUGUUUGGGGCUGUUUCCCUUGGAAUGCCACUUCCUGCAGGAAUCAGAAGUCCAGGGAUAGAAUUUUUGUGGGUUCCAUCCAGAUCGCUAGGGCUGUUGUUCACAACUGCUGCGAUGGCAGUGUUCCACAGGGAGGCUGAGCUGUCCCACCCUCGCCUGCUCCAGCUCUGUCUUGCAGAAGGCCAAUUCCAGGAAGGCUUUUGUGAUUCACAUCACCUAGGUGUGCCCGCUCCUCUGUACCCGGCAUCGCCCCCGUACUAGGAAAGAAGCUAGUAGGAGGUGCACCUCUUGAUCUGUUGCCCCGUAAUUAUAGUCUUAAGGAAUUUUGUUUAUUGAGGAGUCACACUCCCACCUCCACUACUUACUGGCUGUGGGAUCUUGGCAACCUCGAAGAGUCAAUUCCACCUCCCUUUUGCAAGGGAGAACACCAUUUCAGAGAGGUCAGCCAACCUGCCUGCGGGCACCAGCUCAUUGGAAAGCAGUACAAAGGUGCUGCGUUAGGUGGGCUUUCAGAUCUAAGGGACCUGGAGCGUGAUAUCCUGCAGCCUCUGUUCGUAGCUGACAGCAGGGACGCCCCCGGAGGGCGGGGUUCAGGAGCAGAGCCGGCUGCAGCCUGCUUGGUCAUUAGGAGAAGACAGUCACCCAAGACAGUCUCCAAGGUGCCUUCCGCUUUGGCGAUUCGGACCUGUGACACGAGGUGGCAGGCACUGCCUGCACUUGGCAAAGUGAAAAUAAAAGGACGGUGCAAACAUUUCAGAGCAAACUCUACAAACAUCAACCAGGGAAGACACGAGAGGCAGACUGUGGUGUCGGGAGCUCCGCACACGUCUGCACCGGACUGGCGCGAUUCUACCUUCAGGAAAAAACAAACAAACAAAAAAACCCCAACCUUCCCACUGUGGUUUUCUUCUUUAACUUUGUGAUGUCACAUGGUUGGACUUUUUUUCCCCCUCACUGGAGUUACCAGUUGCUUAACUACCCCAGACACAUAGUUUUUUAUAUGAAACUUAUUUAAAUAAAUCCGUGAAAGUUUACUUCUUUGGAUCACACACCCUGCCAGGAUUUGUCUGCUACCCAAGUGCAUCAGUGCAGUGAUUAAAAAAUAUUACAGGGGCCGGUGCUGUGGCAUAGUGGGUAAAGCUGCCGCCUGCAAUGCUGGCAUCCCAUAUGGGCGCCGGUUCGAGACCCGGCUGCUUCUCUUCUCAUCCAGCUCUCUGUUGUGGCCUAGGAAAUCAGUAGAAGGUGGCCCAAGUCUUUGGGCCCCUGCACACACAUGAGAGACCCGGAGGAAGCUCCUGGCUCCUGGCUUUGGAUCAGUUCAGCUCUGGCCAUUGCGGCCAAUUGGGGAGUGAACCAGCGGAUGGAAAACCUCUCUCUCUCUCUCUCUCUCUCUCUCUC